UACGUAGGGUGCAAGCGUUGUCCGGAAUUAUUGGGCGUAAAGCGCGUGUAGGCGGCUUUGCAAGUCGGGUGUGAAAUCCCUCAGCUCAACUGAGGAAGUGCGCCCGAAACUGCAGAGCUUGAGUACCGGAGAGGAUGGUGGAAUUCCCCAAGUAGAGGUGAAAUUCGUAGAUAUGGGGAGGAACACCGGUGGCGAAGGCGACCAUCUGGACGGAUACUGACGCUGAGACGCGAAAGCGUGGGUAGCAAACAGG
rnacentral:rRNA from 1 species